GACGAACGCUGGCGGCGUGCUUAACACAUGCAAGUCGAACGGAAAGGCCCUGCUUUUGUGGGGUGCUCGAGUGGCGAACGGGUGAGUAACACGUGAGUAACCUGCCCUUGACUUUGGGAUAACUUCAGGAAACUGGGGCUAAUACCGGAUAGGAGCUCCUGCUGCAUGGUGGGGGUUGGAAAGUUUCGGCGGUUGGGGAUGGACUCGCGGCUUAUCAGCUUGUUGGUGGGGUAGUGGCUUACCAAGGCUUUGACGGGUAGCCGGCCUGAGAGGGUGACCGGCCACAUUGGGACUGAGAUACGGCCCAGACUCCUACGGGAGGCAUCAGUGGGGAAUAUUGCACAAUGGGCGGAAGCCGGAUGCAGCAACGCCGCGUGCGGGAUGACGGCCUUCGGGUUGUAAACCGCUUUCGCCUGUGACGAAGCGUGAGUGACGGUAAUGGGUAAAGAAGCACCGGCUAACUACGUG
rnacentral:rRNA from 1 species